rnacentral:rRNA from 1 species
UACGUAGGGUGCAAGCGUUAAUCGGAAUUACUGGGCGUAAAGCGUGCGCAGGCGGUUUUGUAAGUCUGACGUGAAAUCCCCGGGAUCAACCUGGGAAUUGCGUUGGAGACUGCAAGGCUAGAAUCUGGCAGAGGGGGGUAGAAUUCCACGUGUAGCAGUGAAAUGCGUAGAGAUGUGGAGGAACACCGAUGGCGAAGGCAGCCCCCUGGGUCAAGAUUGACGCUCAUGCACGAAAGCGUGGGGAGCAAACAGG